GUAGGGAAUAUUGGACAAUGGGGGCAACCCUGAUCCAGCGACGCCGCGUGAGUGAUGAAGGCCUUCGGGUCGUAAAGCUCUGUUGCAGGGGAAGAACACAAUGACGGUACCCUGCUAGAAAGGAUCGGCUAACUUCGUGCCAGCAGCCGCGGUAAGACGAGGGAUCCUAGCGUUGUUCGGAAUUAUUGGGCGUAAAGCGGGUGCAGGUGGCUUGGUAAGUCAGAUGUGAAAGCCUGGGGCUUAACCCCAGAAGUGCAUUUGAUACUGCUGAGCUUGAGUGCUGGAGAGGCUAUUAGAAUUCCUGGUGUAGUGGUGAAAUACGUAGAUAUCAGGAGGAAUACCGGAGGCGAAGGCGGAUAGCUGGCCAGACACUGACACUGAGAGACGAAAGCGAGGGGAGCAAAAGGGAUUAGAUACCCUAGUAGUCC
rnacentral:rRNA from 1 species